UUGCUCUUCAACGAGGAAUUCCUAGUAAGCGUGAGUCAUCAGCUCGCGUUGAUUACGUCCCUGCCCUUUGUACACACCGCCCGUCGCUACUACCGAUUGAAUGGCUUAGUGAGGUUUCCGGAUUGGCUUUGAGGACCCGGCAACGGGAUCUUAUUGCUGAGAAGCUACCCAAACUUGGUCAUUUAGAGGAAGUAAAAGUCGUAACAAGGUUUCCGUAGGUGAACCUGCGGAAGGAUCACUAGUGAUUAAAUCGAGCGUGUCUUCAUUGACCGCUCACCCUUCUCACCAUCCACAUACACCUGUGCACUGUUUAGCCUGAGCCGUUUCGGUUCAGGUUAUCAUUUCAUACAAACUCUAGUCUUAUGAAUGUAAACGUUUUAAUAACAUAAUAAAACUUUCAACAACGGAUCUCUUGGUUCUCGCAUCGAUGAAGAACGCAGCGAAAUGCGAUAAGUAAUGUGAAUUGCAGAAUUCAGUGAAUCAUCGAAUCUUUGAACGCACCUUGCGCUCCUUGGUAUUCCGAGGAGCAUGCCUGUUUGAGUGUCAUGAAACUCUCACCCUCUAGCUUUCUUAAUCGUGGCUAGCGGCGUGGACGUGAGCGCUGCUGCUUUGUUGCGGCUCGCUCGAAAUGUAUUAGCAGACCCUUUUCGUAAUCGGUUCCACUCAACGUGAUAAGUAUUUCGUUGAGGACAGUUGCAGCAAUGCGGCUGGCCGGGAUAAGAAAGGCAUAGUUGUCAGCUUCUAAUCGCCCUCGGGCAAUUUUUUAUGAUCUGGCCUCAAAUCAGGUAGGACUACCCGCUGAACUUAAGCAUAUCAAUAAGCGGAGGA
rnacentral:rRNA from 1 species